AAAACAAAAACAAAAACUUAAAGGGCCAUACUUGUGCUCAUAAUAACAAUCAAUAGAACUUUAGUUCUCAGAAUAGGGUUUGUAAAAUUAUUUUUAUAUAAAUGUUAUAAUUAAAUUAUUUUUACUUAAUUUUUCUCUAUACAUAAUAUAAAUAUGAUGUUUUCUUUAAUUAUACGUGCAGUUUAUCAAUAGCAUACAAUUCCAAGAAGAUUCUAUAGUUCUUUAGAGGGUCCCAAGCAGGAUUGAGCCUGAGCUGUACAGGGUGAUAACCAUUCAAUGACACACAUUUUAUUGGCUUUCUCUCCUUGCCUGUAUCACUCUCCAUUUUCUGGGAUUACCUUCCAAAUAAGUUACAUGCACCUGAGAGUAUGUCUCCGGCUCUGCUUUCAGGGGAAACUAAGCUAAGACAGACAUUGGAAUGUACAGCCAGCCACACAAUAUAUAACUAGGCCCUUCGGGCUGACUUUCCCUUGCCUUCUACUACGAGGGGUGUGGACACUGUCAUCAAUAAAUGAAGCUUGGUCACAUCUUUCUGAACUGCAGUCCCCGUUGUUAGAAAGACAGCAUGUAAUGGGGACAGUGUCAUCUCCAGGCAGUGGAUGCCUCCGGUCCAUGAAUUCUCUAGACCCCUCCCAUCCUGCCCCCUUCCACACAUUCCUGAAUGUAUCGGUCACAUUAAAUCAAUGAGACUAACUGAGCUGCUCCUUCCUUAUUCCACUGUUUCUCUGACAUCACCCAGGAAAUUACUGGAACCUUUGGUCUUAGCUGUCCCUCAACUGUGGUGCCGUCUCAACCAGUGUCUGCCAGGCUAGUAAUUCGUUUUCAGUAGAGAAGUAGCAAGCAGCUACAUUGGGUAAUUUUAGGGGCCAAGAGCCUCAAUCCUUAAGCCAAUCCUGAUAUACGUCAGAGACCAUCUCAUUAGAGCAUUUAUUGCACCCCAUCAAUCUUGUGGUACGAUAAACAAGACCGAGCAGAGUACAGCAUAGAAUACCAAGCAUGAACACUGUCUUCUUUUUUUUCUUUUUAAUCACCUGCAGCCUUUCAGGCCAACAUAUGCUUCUCUGAACUGAGAGCUUCGGAAGUAGCAUGUUAGUUGCAAGCAUCUCUGGGACUUAUGCUCACAGGCCUUUAGAUUGCCAAUAAAGGCGAUCUUGUAGAGACAUUCUUAAAAGUCUAGUGAUUUUUGGCUCUCUGUUCUUAUUUAAGAGAGAAACACCAAAAAUGGCUUGGAAACUUGGCCAGGAUGUUAACUAGUGGCUUCACUGUACAGUUUACUGUAGAUCUGUACUCAGGCCUUACUUUGUAGAUGCCCAAAUGUUAGCGUCUGUAGGGUUUUUUUCUCUUGGGCUAGUCUUCUGUUUGUUUGUACUGUUGUUAUUGUUCUGUAUUUCAGGAGAGGGUGUAAGCCUGGCUGCUAUUAUUCUAGGAGCUGAGUAAGGGCAGGGGACUAAAGUUCUCACAACUCAGUAUGUAAAAUUUAACUCUACCUCCCUAUUUUACCUUUUGUCUUACUUCCCUGAAAUAUUCCUGAGGCUAGAGCUCUGUUUCGAUUUUUCCAGUGAGAAUACCUGGAAUGUCUUCUGUUGGGGUGGGAAAGGUUUAGGUGCCUGGCUAUGCAAUGUUAGGGCUGGCAUCUAGAGAGCUAGGUGCUUUUUAUUAGACUUUCAACUAAUCUUGUUUUUAAUCCACACCCCAUUCAAAGUGACAGGUGCCUCCAAUUCUGCAGCCGUUCUUGUCUUGCUUUAUGGCUUUUCCGAGUGCAGAUGCUUAAAUUUCAGCUUUCUCUGCUUUUUUAAGUUUCCACUUGUCCACCUGCUUGCCAUUUUCCAAGUUGUAUUCUAGCAGCAAAUCACCUAUCUGAAAAGACUACCUAUCUCAGCCUCCUUUGCAUAUAGUUCUGGCCAAAGGGGAAAUGCUAUGAGAAACAUCAGGAAUGGCCCCUUAACGGGAUUUGAUUCGGCUGUGGAGCACAUCCUUUUAUCCUUCUCUUCUCCCUUCUUCCUACUGCCUGGAAUGUGGACAUGAUAGCUAGAACGCCAGCAAUUAUCCUGAACUCAUGAGGGAAGCUUGAGGAAGGAAGCCACAUACUGAGGAUGACAGAGCAGAAAUAUAGGAGCCUUGGUCCCUGGUGGCUGUGGAGUUACCCCAGACUAACGGCGGACUUCUUUUAUACUAACAGUAAUUCUGACAAAUUCUAUCAUGUACAAUUUCCUUCAAAAGAGGGGGAAAGACUAUGAUACAUUGAUAAUUGUGUACAUUGCAUUACUGAGUAUGUUGCCGACAGGACAGAACUUCCUUUCUGACCAGGAGGAUAAAAAUAGACUUCUCUCUCCCUAACAAUUUUACAUAUCUAGUGAUUGGAAGAAUUUCCAAUAGACUGACUCAUACCUCCUUUCCUUUUAGUCUUUGUAUAUAUGGUGCCAUCCACCGCAGGAUAAAGUCACAUUGCAGUGUAACCUCUGGCCCUGCACCUUUACAUGACAGGAUCCCAGAUCUCGGCAUGCUCAAGUGUUCCUGGAGAAAGAAACUGACCUCUUGGCAACAACAACUCUUGGGUAAAAUUAUAAACUAAUUUUGGACAAGAAAAAAAACAAGAGCAUCAAUUGCUGCCAUUUGAGAUGGAAGGUCAUUUGAGGACAAAGUGAGAAAAUGGCUGUCUGCAAGCCAGGAAGAGAGGGCUCACCAAAUACCAAUCCUGACAGCAACUUGAUCUUGGACUUCUAGCCUCCAGAGCGGUGAGUAAAUAAAUUUCUGUUGUUCAAGCUACCUAGGCUCUGGUAUUUUGUUAUGGCAGCCUGGGCAGACUAAUAUAGUAGAUAAAGGCACAGUACAGACAUAAAAGGGCUGUACAUUUUAUAAAAUUCUGAAUCUGCAGAUUGGCAAGGUCUGAUGUGAUGCACAGUGUGGAGAUGGCAGCACCAGAUUCACCCUGGAAAGCAUCAAAAUACCACUUUCGAACAGAGGCGAUAUUUCCAGUUAAAACAUUACAACAUAAGUAAUUUGAUGGUGGUGAUGCAUCGACUUCAUUCAGCUGGCCACUAAAUUACAGGUGCUAACAGUAUUCCAAGAACUGCAGAAGAGACUGGGGACUUGCAAUUUCUAUUGUUGUUGAUAUUUCGAUUAUUGUAGGAAUUCUAUUAUUUUCUUUCAAAGCACUUUGGAUGCCUGGACUUUUGCAAAUGGAGAGAUGCAAGGCAAGGGCUUGAUACUCUUAUAAUUAACAUUUUUGAGUGCUUACAUGAUUAUACAUGGCAGGCCCUGUUACAUAAACUGACUUUGUUUAAUUCAGAUAACAACCUACCUGUGAGAUUGCUAUAUAGGGACCAUUACUUCCAUUUUACAGAUGAGGAAAUGUUUACGAUGUAUUACAUUUAAAGAUCAGAGGGACUUCCCUAGUGGUGCAGUGGUAAAGAAGCCGCCUGCCAAUGCAGGGGACACGGGUUCGAGCCCUGGUCUGGGAAGAUCCCACAUGCCGCGGAGCAACUAAGCCCGUGAGCCACAACUACUAAGCCUGCGCAUCUGGAGCCCGUGCUCCGCAACAGGAGAGGCUGCGACAGUGAGGGCCUGAGCACCGCGAUGAAGAGUGGGCCCCGCUCGCCGCAACUGGAGAAAGUCCUUGCACAGAAACGAAGACCCAACACAGCCAAAAAAGAAAUAAAUUUAAAAAUGCGAACUCAACUAUAAUGUUACCAUAACCACUGAUAUUCAAAUAUUCUCAGCUACUUCUUAAGCUAAGCUAGGAACUAUCCCUAGAGUUGAGCAGAGUCCCCUGAAACCUUUUAACUUGGAAAUCACCAUGCUAUGGGAGAAAUACCUACAGCACUUGGAAAGGCUUUGAGGUUCUCGCAGGCACUUCCUUUUCAAUAAGCCACUUUACUGAGGUAUGAACGACAUACAAAGAGCUAUACAUAUUUCAUGUAUAUGACUUGAUGAUUUUGGAUAUAAGUAUAUACCAGUGAAACCAUCACCACAAUCUAUGCCAUAAACAUAUCCGUCACCUUCAAAAGUUUCCUCCUGCCUUCUUUAUUAUUAUUAAUUUUUGUGAUAAUGACACUUAACAUAAGAUCUACUCUCUUAGCCAAUUCUUAAUAUUGUCAACACAGGCACUAUGCUGUUCAAUAGAAAAGGACUUUUUCAUCUUGCAUAACUGAAACUUAGUACCCUUUGACCAGUUCUCUCCAGCCACUGAACCCUCUAGCUUUGCUCCCGUUUCAAUUUAACCAAGUGCCAGAAGCUUAUUUUGUGUCAUAUUAACAAACAGUAAAUAUUUUAAAUGUUAUCUAGUAAAAAGACUUAACUUGGCUUUUGUAUCUUUUCUGGUCUGCUACAAGUUUCCACCAGUGUCUCCUCUUUCCUUAUUUUGGUCUCACACUUUGUAGCAAAACAGAAGAGGAAGCACUUUAUGAAGAAGACCUUUGGG